rnacentral:rRNA from 1 species
GGGAAUAUUGGUAAUGUGCGAAAGCGCGAACCAGCAACGCCGCGUGCACGAUGAGGGCCUUCGGGUUGUAAAGUGCUUUUAGAGAGGAUGAGGAAGGACAGUACUUUCUGAAUAAGCCUCGGCUAACUACGUGCCAACAGCCGCGGUAAAACGUAGGAGGCUAGCGUUAUCCGGAUUUACUGGGCGUAAAGCGCGUGCAGGUGGUUUCGUAAGUUGGAUGUGAAAGCUCCUGGCUCAACUGGGAGAGGUCGUUCAAAACUGCGAGGCUUGAGAGUGGUAGAGGGAGGUGGAAUUCCGGGUGUAGUGGUGAAAUGCGUAGAUAUCAGGAGGAACACCGGCGGUGUAGACGGCUUGCUAGACCAUAACUGACGCUGAGGCACGAAAGCGUGGGUAGCAAACA